rnacentral:rRNA from 1 species
UACCGUGAACUGCGAAUGGCUCAUUAAAUCAGUUAUCGUUUAUUUGAUAGUACCUUACUACUUGGAUAACCGUGGUAAUUCUAGAGCUAAUACAUGCUAAAAACCCCGACUUCGGAAGGGGUGUAUUUAUUAGAUAAAAAACCAAUGCCCUUCGGGGCUCUUUGGUGAUUCAUGAUAACUUAACGGAUCGCAUGGCCUUGCGCCGGCGACGGUUCAUUCAAAUUUCUGCCCUAUCAACUUUCGAUGGUAAGGUAUUGGCUUACCAUGGUUUCAACGGGUAACGGGGAAUUAGGGUUCGAUUCCGGAGAGGGAGCCUGAGAAACGGCUACCACAUCCAAGGAAGGCAGCAGGCGCGCAAAUUACCCAAUCCCGACACGGGGAGGUAGUGACAAUAAAUACUGAUACAGGGCUCUUUUGGGUCUUGUAAUUGGAAUGAGUACAAUUUAAACCCCUUAACGAGGAACAAUUGGAGGGCAAGUCUGGUGCCAGCAGCCGCGGUAAUUCCAGCUCCAAUAGCGUAUAUUAAAGUUGUUGCAGUUAAAAAGCUCGUAGUUGAACCUUGGGCCUGGCUGGCCGGUCCGCCUCACCGCGUGUACUGGUCCGGCCGGGCCUUUCCUUCUGGAGAGCCGCAUGCCCUUCACUGGGUGUGUCGGGGAACCAGGACUUUUACUUUGAAAAAAUUAGAGUGUUCAAAGCAGGCCUUUGCUCGAAUACGUUAGCAUGGAAUAAUAGAAUAGGACGUGCGGUCCUAUUUUGUUGGUUUCUAGGACCGCCGUAAUGAUUAAUAGGGAUAGUCGGGGGCAUCAGUAUUCAAUUGUCAGAGGUGAAAUUCUUGGAUUUAUUGAAGACUAACUACUGCGAAAGCAUUUGCCAAGGAUGUUUUCAUUAAUCAGUGAACGAAAGUUAGGGGAUCGAAGACGAUCAGAUACCGUCGUAGUCUUAACCGUAAACUAUGCCGACUAGGGAUCGGGCGAUGUUAUUCUUUUGACUCGCUCGGCACCUUACGAGAAAUCAAAGUUUUGGGUCUGGGGAGUAUC